UACGAAGGGGGCUAGCGUUGCUCGGAAUCACUGGGCGUAAAGGGUGCGUAGGCGGGUCUUUAAGUCAGGGGCGAAAUCCUGGAGCUCAACUCCAGAACUGCCUUUGAUACUGAGGAUCUUGAGUACGGGAGAGGUGAGUGGAACUGCGAGUGUAGAGGUGAAAUUCGUAGAUAUUCGCAAGAACACCAGUGGCGAAGGCGGCUCACUGGCCCGUAACUGACGCUGAGGCAUGAAAGCGUGGGGAGCAAACAGG
rnacentral:rRNA from 1 species